UACGUAGGGAGCAAGCGUUGUCCGGAAUCAUUGGGCGUAAAGCGCGCGUAGGCGGCUCGAUCAGUCUGUUGUGAAAGUCAAAGGCUCAACCUUUGAAUGCCGAUGGAUACUGUCGAGCUAGAGUCCGGAAGAGGCGGGUGGAAUUCCUGGUGUAGCGGUGGAAUGCGCAGAUAUCAGGAGGAACACCAACGGCGAAGGCAGCCCGCUGGGACGGUACUGACGCUAAGGCGCGAAAAGCGUGGGGAGCGAACAGG
rnacentral:rRNA from 1 species